rnacentral:ribozyme from 13 species
UUCUCUUUCUCUUUCUCUUUCUCUUUCUCUUUCUCUUUGUCUUUCAAACAAGAACAAGAAACAAAGGAAAAAAGGUCUCUUUGAAAGAGGAAGCAAAGGCAAAAGGGAGUCUUUUGUCUUUUGUCUUUCAUCUUUCCAAUCAGAAUAUCUAAA